rnacentral:misc_RNA from 1 species
AGCUGGGAGAGCGCGUGCUUUGCAAGCAUGAGGUCGUCGGUUCGAUCCCGUCUGGCUCCACCAGAUGGUUUGAUCGCCGAGAUCUUGCACCGUCGUCCGCGAAACAUCACUUCGCAUCCUGCUAGUCUGGAUAGACAGCAAGAUGCGUGUUUUCUGACAUCGUAAAGAGGAGAUCGAUCCGAGUUGGGUCGUGCAGCAGAUUGUUGCGCGAAUCCUUCAUUAUCUCCGGAUCAUUUUCGGCGCUCGCUUUCAGCCGUGAGGUUGAAUGCGAGUUGUAAAAUGAUCCUUUUAGCGAAGCUUGACCGCCUCGCUAUCGGAACGAUCUUACGAAGCAAGCUGGUCUUUCUAGUCAAUGUCCGGCUGCAGAUAGCGUUCGUCGAGGGCGCGUGCCGUAAGGCAAUUCUGCAGACAACAUUCUGCCGAGUGUGUGGACAUUGAUAAUGAGAGCAAUCAAGUGCCUUAAGGGUGUUCGGUGGAUGCCUUGGCGCUGAGAGGCGAUGAAGGACGUGCUACGCUGCGAUAAGCCGUGGGGAGCUGCGAAGAAGCUUUGAUCCACGGAUUUCCGAAUGG